rnacentral:rRNA from 1 species
AUUGAACGCUGGCGGCAGGCCUAACACAUGCAAGUCGAGCGGAUGACGGGAGCUUGCUCCUUGAUUCAGCGGCGGACGGGUGAGUAAUGCCUAGGAAUCUGCCUGGUAGUGGGGGGCAACGUUUCGAAAGGAACGCUAAUACCGCAUACGUCCUACGGGAGAAAGCAGGGGACCUUCGGGCCUUGCGCUAUCAGAUGAGCCUAGGUCGGAUUAGCUUGUUGGUGAGGUAAUGGCUCACCAAGGCGACGAUCCGUAACUGGUCUGAGAGGAUGGUCAGUCACACUGGAACUGAGACACGGUCCAGACUCCUACGGGAGGCAGCAGUGGGGAAUAUUGGACAAUGGGCGAAAGCCUGAUCCAGCCAUGCCGCGUGUGUGAAGAAGGUCUUCGGAUUGUAAAGCACUUUAAGUUGGGAGGAAGGGUUGUAGAUUAAUACUCUGCAAUUUUGACGUUACCGACAGAAUAAGCACCGGCUAACUCUGUGCCAGCAGCCGCGGUAA